UACAGAGGGUGCAAGCGUUGUUCGGAAUUAUUGGGCGUAAAGAGCUCGUAGGCGGUUUGUCGCGUCUGCUGUGAAAACUGGAGGCUCAACCUCCAGCCUGCAGUGGGUACGGGCAGACUAGAGUGCGGUAGGGGAGAUUGGAAUUCCUGGUGUAGCGGUGGAAUGCGCAGAUAUCAGGAGGAACACCGAUGGCGAAGGCAGGUCUCUGGGCAGUAACUGACGCUGAGGAGCGAAAGCGUGGGGAGCGAACAGG
rnacentral:rRNA from 1 species